rnacentral:rRNA from 1 species
AGGGCGCACGGUGGAUGCCUUGGCACUAGAAGCCGAUGAAGGACGUUACUAACGACGAUAUGCUUUGGGGAGCUGUAAGUAAGCUUUGAUCCAGAGAUUUCCGAAUGGGGAAACCCAGCAUGAGUUAUGUCAUGUUAUCGAUAUGUGAAUACAUAGCAUAUCAGAAGGCACACCCGGAGAACUGAAACAUCUUAGUACCCGGAGGAAGAGAAAGAAAAUUCGAUUCCCUUAGUAGCGGCGAGCGAAACGGGAAGAGCCCAAACCAACAAGCUUGCUUGUUGGGGUUGUAGGACACUCUAUACGGAGUUACAAAGGACGACAUUAGACGAAUCAUCUGGAAAGAUGAAUCAAAGAAGGUAAUAAUCCUGUAGUCGAAAAUGUUGUCUCUCUUGAGUGGAUCCUGAGUACGACGGAGCACGUGAAAUUCCGUUGGAAUCUGGGAGGACCAUCUCCUAAGGCUAAAUACUCUCUAGUGACCGAUAGUGAACCAGUACCGUGAGGGAAAGGUGAAAAGCACCCCGGAAGGGGAGUGAAAUAGAACCUGAAACCGUGUGCUUACAAGUAGUCAGAGCCCGUUAAUGGGUGAUGGCGUGCCUUUUGUAGAAUGAACCGGCGAGUUACGAUUUGAUGCAAGGUUAAGCAGUAAAUGUGGAGCCGUAGCGAAAGCGAGUCUGAAUAGGGCGUUUAGUAUUUGGUCGUAGACCCGAAACCAGGUGAUCUACCCUUGGUCAGGUUGAAGUUCAGGUAACACUGAAUGGAGGACCGAACCGACUUACGUUGAAAAGUGAGCGGAUGAACUGAGGGUAGCGGAGAAAUUCCAAUCGAACCUGGAGAUAGCUGGUUCUCUCCGAAAUAGCUUUAGGGCUAGCCUCAAGUGAUGAUUAUUGGAGGUAGAGCACUGUUUGGACGAGGGGCCCCUCUCGGGUUACCGAAUUCAGACAAACUCCGAAUGCCAAUUAAUUUAACUUGGGAGUCAGAACAUGGGUGAUAAGGUCCGUGUUCGAAAGGGAAACAGCCCAGACCACCAGCUAAGGUCCCAAAAUAUAUGUUAAGUGGAAAAGGAUGUGGCGUUGCCCAGACAACUAGGAUGUUGGCUUAGAAGCAGCCAUCAUUUAAAGAGUGCGUAAUAGCUCACUAGUCGAGUGACACUGCGCCGAAAAUGUACCGGGGCUAAACAUAUUACCGAAGCUGUGGAUUGUCCUUUGGACAAUGGUAGGAGAGCGUUCUAAGGGCGUUGAAGCAUGAUCGUAAGGACAUGUGGAGCGCUUAGAAGUGAGAAUGCCGGUGUGAGUAGCGAAAGACGGGUGAGAAUCCCGUCCACCGAUUGACUAAGGUUUCCAGAGGAAGGCUCGUCCGCUCUGGGUUAGUCGGGUCCUAAGCUGAGGCCGACAGGCGUAGGCGAUGGAUAACAGGUUGAUAUUCCUGUACCACCUAUAAUCGUUUUAAUCGAUGGGGGGACGCAGUAGGAUAGGCGAAGCGUGCGAUUGGAUUGCACGUCUAAGCAGUAAGGCUGAGUAUUAGGCAAAUCCGGUACUCAUUAAGGCUGAGCUGUGAUGGGGAGAAGACAUUGUGUCUUCGAGUCGUUGAUUUCACACUGCCGAGAAAAGCCUCUAGAUAGAAAAUAGGUGCCCGUACCGCAAACCGACACAGGUAGUCAAGAUGAGAAUUCUAAGGUGAGCGAGCGAACUCUCGUUAAGGAACUCGGCAAAAUGACCCCGUAACUUCGGGAGAAGGGGUGCUCUUUAGGGUUAACGCCCAGAAGAGCCGCAGUGAAUAGGCCCAAGCGACUGUUUAUCAAAAACACAGGUCUCUGCUAAACCGUAAGGUGAUGUAUAGGGGCUGACGCCUGCCCGGUGCUGGAAGGUUAAGAGGAGUGGUUAGCUUCUGCGAAGCUACGAAUCGAAGCCCCAGUAAACGGCGGCCGUAACUAUAACGGUCCUAAGGUAGCGAAAUUCCUUGUCGGGUAAGUUCCGACCCGCACGAAAGGCGUAACGAUUUGGGCACUGUCUCAACGAGAGACUCGGUGAAAUCAUAGUACCUGUGAAGAUGCAGGUUACCCGCGACAGGACGGAAAGACCCCGUGGAGCUUUACUGUAGCCUGAUAUUGAAAUUCGGCACAGCUUGUACAGGAUAGGUAGGAGCCUUUGAAACGUGAGCGCUAGCUUACGUGGAGGCGCUGGUGGGAUACUACCCUAGCUGUGUUGGCUUUCUAACCCGCACCACUUAUCGUGGUGGGAGACAGUGUCAGGCGGGCAGUUUGACUGGGGCGGUCGCCUCCUAAAAGGUAACGGAGGCGCUCAAAGGUUCCCUCAGAAUGGUUGGAAAUCAUUCAUAGAGUGUAAAGGCAUAAGGGAGCUUGACUGCGAGACCUACAAGUCGAGCAGGGUCGAAAGACGGACUUAGUGAUCCGGUGGUUCCGCAUGGAAGGGCCAUCGCUCAACGGAUAAAAGCUACCCCGGGGAUAACAGGCUUAUCUCCCCCAAGAGUUCACAUCGACGGGGAGGUUUGGCACCUCGAUGUCGGCUCAUCGCAUCCUGGGGCUGUAGUCGGUCCCAAGGGUUGGGCUGUUCGCCCAUUAAAGCGGUACGCGAGCUGGGUUCAGAACGUCGUGAGACAGUUCGGUCCCUAUCCGUCGUGGGCGUAGGAAAUUUGAGAGGAGCUGUCCUUAGUACGAGAGGACCGGGAUGGACAUACCUCUGGUGUACCAGUUGUCGUGCCAACGGCAUAGCUGGGUAGCUAUGUGUGGACGGGAUAAGUGCUGAAAGCAUCUAAGCAUGAAGCCCCCCUCAAGAUGAGAUUUCCCAACUUCGGUUAU